rnacentral:rRNA from 1 species
CCUACGGGAGGCAGCAGUCGGGAAUAUUGCGCAAUGGAGGAAACUCUGACGCAGUGACGCCGCGUAUAGGAAGAAGGUUUUCGGAUUGUAAACUAUUGUCGUUAGGGAAGAUAAAAGACUGUACCUAAGGAGGAAGCCCCGGCUAACUAUGUGCCAGCAGCCGCGGUAAUACAUAGGGGGCAAGCGUUAUCCGGAAUUAUUGGGCGUAAAGAGUACGUAGGUGGCAACCUAAGCGCAGGGUUUAAGGCAAUGGCUCAACCAUUGUUCGCCCUGCGAACUGGGAUGCUUGAGUGCAGGAGAGGAAA